rfam:Camelus ferus unplaced genomic scaffold scaffold1392, whole genome shotgun sequence.
GAGGGUAUGGCUCAAGUGGUAGAGUGCAUGCUUAGCAUGCACGAGGACCUGGGUUCAAUCCCUAGGACCUCCU